UAUGAGCUGGUAUCCCUGGGAAUAUAAAGCCCUACACUUUUUUCCUAGUAAAAUGAGAGAAAAGUUAACACAUACCUUCGUCCAAGAAAAGAGUAAAUCGAGAGAGUCACGUCAUUCUAAUUUUUAACCAAUACCCUCUUUACUUUUGGACCACCUGUAAUCAUUGUUUAGACUCUAGAUUCUGAAAUGCUAGGGCCAGUUAUUCUUGUGGCAAUAUUCGAGUAAGCAAUGUGCACUUCCUACCUAUAUUGCAGAGACCUACAGCUGUUUCCACCAUUGCCUUGGCCCCAUGGUUUUGUACAAAGCCUCAUUAUUUAAGUUUUUGCAGUGUAGCUUCAGAGAUUUCAAAAGUGGGCAUCCUUUAGCUACAAUAAGCAAGUUUCUGUUGUGAACGAUAUUUGAAUAUAAUGAUAAAGUUUCAAGGGAUCUGCAGUCAAUUGCUAUGGCAUGUAGUAAGAGGACAUGUGAUGAACUUCAAGAUAACUCGACAAACAUUAUAGAGCUUUUUCAACGCCUUGAUUUUAGCCAUGAUGCUUGGUCACUCAAUUGCAAACAUGGCUUGGCUCUUAUGCCCUCUGGACUGGAACAUUUGUGCGACUGCAUUUCUAUCCCAGCCAAAUUGGUGAGAGAACGUUGCAUGAAUUGGUCUUCUCUUGCUGCUCAAAGUAUCUUGAGCAAAAGAGGUUGGGAACAUGUGGUUUAUCAGAUUCUGGUUUCUGAUUUGGCUGUUGCUGGAAAUGGAUUUAUCAAAUUUAAAGUGUGAUAUGGUGCUCUUAACGUAAGAGAUGUAGGGCUAUGAUCUGUUGAUAAAUGUAAAUUGGUGGUGCGUGAAUUUGUAAGUGAUGACCCAGAAUUAUACUUGUAGUUUUGUAUAUCCUUUGAAUAAUCAUUCUAUUGGAGCGAUACUUCAGAUUGGAUCAGAAUAUUGUCACACUAUCUCAAAAUCAGGCUUUUCUAUUUGCACAUUGGUAGUUGUUCGGUAAUGGGAUCUAGAAUCCCUCUGCAUAUUUGCUUAGGCUAUGGUACAAGGGAUUCGCAUGGAAAGGGACAUGGGAGUGGAAAAUAACCUCUGAAUAGAGUGGAGAUUUUUACAUGCUUGACUGGAGGAUUUGAAUUUGCUGUUUUUCGAAGGUUUGACUUGCAUGGGAUUGGGCUAGCCCCUGGUUGUGAAAAUCACAUGGACUUGCUGCUGCUGUUUCUGAUGUUUCAUUAGAAGCCAUGUCAAUUUAGUGUAGAUCUCUUGAAACUUAUCAUUACAUUCUGAAUUCAUCCACAACAGAGUCUUGCUUGUUGCAGCUAAAGGAUGCCCUCUAUUGAAAUCUUUGAAGCUACGAUGCAAAAACGUAAUUGAUGAGGCUUUGUACAAAACCUUGGGGACAAUGAUGCACUAGGCGAAGGCUGUCCUAAGGGAAUUGAUGUUAUCCCAUUGUAUGUGGAUACACACGUAGGUCUCAGCUAUAUAGCUAGGAACUGUACAAUACUGGAAUAUAGCCAAAUGGUUUUGUUCUCGUGGCAUUUGAGAACCUGGAGUCUUACCGUUAUUGUGAGUUGAGAAUAAAGAUGGUAUCCGUUCAGAAGUUAGCUUGAGGACCAAAUGUGUGGAAAACUAUGUUACAGAAGGCUACGUUCUUCAUCGAGAAGUUUUGGAUGCUGGGCAUGUUUCAAGCAAUUUUGCCUUCAAUAAGUUGAUGUCUUCAUUUUGCAAGAGAAUAGAUUAUGCAAAAGUUUGUUUUUCGUCGUACUAUGAUUGCAAAGAAUUGUUCUCCUGAUAAUACACACUUUUCAGGAAGUUAUUCAUGUUUUAUGCAAAAGAAGGAUGGGGCAUGAAGGUUUUGAACUUCAUGUGAUCACUUGCAAUUCUUUGAUUCAAGGCUCUUGCAAGAAAAGAAGAUAUGGAGGGUAUGUACUUACUUGAUGAGCUUCUAAAGCAGGAUUUGCUCAGGAUUUGCUGCCAUCUGAUGUGUUGAUUGCAAACUUUGCAAGCUACAAAUGUGGUGGAAGCAAAAACAUCGUGUAAAGAUUUGUUAGAUAGGGUGUGAUACUGGCGAUUUGUGCUUAUAAUUUCAUUUUAAUUGGACUGAGUGAGCAAUGAAAUGUUGUAGAAGGGAUGGAGUGGAUGGGCAAUAUGCUUAAGAGUAAGCUUGAGCCAAGGAAGAACACUUUUGAGAGACUCAUCCAAUGUUUUUUCUGAAGGUUGAGUGAUGCUUUAUUUGUUUUAGAUCUUCAGCAACACUUUUGCAGGGCCUCUGUGCUAUUGGCAAAGGCUGUAAAAAGUUGGAAAAAUCUUAUCUUGAAAAUUGCUACGUUCUGGGUAGGAUGUGUUUAGAUUCUGUAACUGUUGGUUACACUGAGCUUUUGUGUCUUGAAGUCAAUGGCUGCCGUACAAUUGGAAUACGCAGACUGAAAUUCACUGGAAAAUCCUGCAUGGAAGCAUUUUGACUGCCUCCUUUCUUUCACUCACUUCCCCUGACACCACCAUAACUCGUGCUUGCUUUCUCAUUUUGUCAAGUGAACUGCUGUCUCUCUCUCUAAUGUUGUGCUGAGUUGUCUUGCCGUACAAUUGUUAGCAACCUCCCCUUCCCCAAUCCUUCCAUACUAGACUUGAACCCAUGAUCACUUUGGCAAGAACCUUAAUCAUUUCUAACUGCUGCUCUUAACUCCUUUUUAUACCAUUGUCUUGCUUUGCUGUUUUUAUUAAUUCGCCUGAUGUUUCACAUUAUUUACAGUUUUGUGGGCUUGGACUAUGUAAUGCAGCCGCCCUUUCUAAGUUAGUCUUGCUGCAAUUAGGGGAGUAAAAAAUGAUGCACUAUGUGGCAUGGGCUGCGAGCUCUUCAUUUGGUAUAGUGCUCAGUUAUUUGGGAUGACGGCAUUAUAGUAUAGCUAGAGGGUGCAGAAACUCAAAGAAGCUCCUUAUUCACCAAUGUGCAUUGGAACCUUGGCGACACGAAAAUGUUGGUACUAGGUGAAGGCUGUCCAUUACUGAAGGAAUUGGCAGUGUCUCAAUUUUUGCAACUAACAAUGAAAUAGGUCUCGGUUCAAUGGCUAGUAACCUCAUAUCACUGGAAGAAUGCAAAAAUGAUUUAUUUCCCAGGUAUUUCAGAAUCUGGAAUUGAAGUGGCAAGUAAAAGUUGUCCAGAAAUCGAAAGGGCAUCAGUUGUGAAGUGUAUAGUUAGCUGAGGAUCAAAUGUCAGGCUGUAUCCAUAAUCUCUCUGAUAAAUUGUCAAUUUUUUCGAACCCAACAAACACAUUUGCAGGAGAAAAACAUUUAAUUGCGGGUGUGGAGCUGAUAGCAUUUUGAAGUGGAGUUGUUCCUUGUGAGGGAUCUCUGGAUUCCCUUGAGUAAGCUUUGUUUGUUAUGUCUGUUGCAUCAAUUGUACUUGUGUCUUAUUUUAUUCUCAAGGGAUGCAACUUUUGACAAAUCUUAAUAUUGUUAAUUCAGCAUUUGUUUAAUGGAUUCUUAUCUGUAUAUUUAAGAGUUGGUUUACUAUCUAAUAUUCGAUAUAUUCAAGUUGUUUUGGAAUUUCAGAUU